UGUGUAAGCGCAGCGAUGCGUUGAGCUAACCGGUACUAAUGAACCGUGAGGCUUAACCUUACAACGCCGAAGCUGUUUUGGCGGAUGAGAGAAUUUCAGCUUUGAUUCAGAGUCCGAAGGAUUUUGCGCUGAGACAAGGCGGCAAAUGAAGCGAAGGAAGGAGCAUACUGAAGUAUGUGACUGACUUUCGCGAAUGCAGCCGACGCAGUAUCAGCACAAAAGACACAGGACAGAGCACA
rnacentral:rRNA from 1 species